UACGUAGGGUGCAAGCGUUAAUCGGAAUUACUGGGCGUAAAGCGUGCGCAGGCGGUUGUGCAAGUCCGGUGUGAAAUCCCCGGGCUUAACCUGGGAAUGGCAUUGGUGACUGCACGGCUAGAGUGUGUCAGAGGGGGGUAGAAUUCCACGUGUAGCAGUGAAAUGCGUAGAGAUGUGGAGGAAGACCGAUGGCGAAGGCAGCCCCCUGGGAUAACACUGACGCUCAUGCACGAAAGCGUGGGGAGCAAACAGG
rnacentral:rRNA from 1 species